AGCUUUGCACAGUGGCAGUGUUAUGGCCAGUGAGGUUUAUCUGAGGCAGGAUUAUUGCUAAUUGAAAUCAAUAAACAAACAAACAAACAAACUUGUUAAAAAUAAAUCAUGUUAUAUUCACACAAUGGAAUACUAU